rnacentral:rRNA from 2 species
UGUUUCGGCUAGGGGGCCAUCCCGGCUUACCAACCCGAUGCAAACUGCGAAUACCGGAGAAUGUUAUCACGGGAGACACACGGCGGGUGCUAACGUCCGUCGUGAAGAGGGAAACAACCCAGACCGCCAGCUAAGGUCCCAAAGUCAUGGUUAAGUGGGAAACGAUGUGGGAAGGCCCAGACAGCCAGGAUGUUGGCUUAGAAGCAGCCAUCAUUUAAAGAAAGCGUAAUAGCUCACUGGUCGAGUCGGCCUGCGCGGAAGAUGUAACGGGGCUAAACCAUGCACCGAAGCUGCGGCAGCGACACUGUGUGUUGUUGGGUAG